UUUCCCUCUGUUCUUUGUGUGAGUAUCUGUUUAUCUGCCCUUCAGUGUGUUUUGAAUAUGUUUUGGAUUUUGGAUCAGGCAUUGCGUUUGUUCCCCAGUACUUUGUUCUUUUUUAAUGGACUUCUGCUUUCCACCUGACCAAAACAACCACACCCAGACCCUUUGGAGGAAGUAGUCUGGAUCCAAUUCCAAAAGAACUCCAGAGCAGUUUGUUGAUGGUGAGAAUGUGAUGCAACUUCAAUGCAACUCGAAGUUUAAGCUAAACACCUUCACUCAACCAGGCAACAGACAGGAAGAGCAUCACUUGGAGACGUCAAAACCACAGGAAGAGCUCACAGAAAGACGCAUCACGCAGAUGUGCCAUGAAACAUCGAGGGUCUAGUCGAAUAAAACCGCCUCUCUCCGUGAUGGGAAAUGCCACGGGGUCCAAGAAAGAUGUCAAGGAGGACGUUUGGGCCGUAGCAAAUGUAAACACAAUGAGGAGGAACUCAGAUUUGGUAAUUUAUUCAGCACAGCUCAUCCUGUGUAUGGGAGCAAAUGCUUUGUUAUUUAUAUCCAGCACAGCAGUGGGCUGAAAGAGUCCAUAAUGAAUAAACUGGCAACAAAGGAUAAUGCACUGUUCCUUAAAUGAAAACAAAUUUAACGAUAAAGGAAACUGGCAUGAUCUUUAAAAUAGUGUCAACAUAAGUGUAUCACGUAGUAUGAAUGUGAUUAAAAGGAACAAUGAAAACCCCCAAAUCCCUCAAAAUAUGCACAUUUGAUCUGUUAAAGCUGAUUUAAUCGCACCA